UCAUGCAGAGGUCAGGUAGGUCAUGCAGAUAUCAGGCUGGUCAUGCAGAUAUCAGGUUGGUCUUGCAGAUAUCAGGUUGGUCAUAAAGAGGUCAGGUAGGUCAUGCAGAGGUCAGGUAGGUCAUGCAGAUAUCAGGUUGGUCUUGCAGAGGUCAGGUAGUUCAUGCAGAUAUCAGGUUGGUCAUGCAGAGGUCAGGUAGGUCAUGCAGAGGUCAGGUUGGUCAUGCAAAGGUCAGGUUGUUCAUGCAGAUAUCAGGU